rnacentral:rRNA from 1 species
GGCGAAAGCCUGAUGCAGCGACUCGCUGAAGGAUGACGNCUUCGGGUGUAAACUUCUUUCAGCAGGACGAAAGCGUGAGUGACGGUACNUGCAGAGAAAGCACCGGCUAANUACGUGCCAGCAGCCGCGGUAAUACGUAGGGUGCGAGCGUGUCNNGGAAUUAUUGGGCGUAAAGAGCUCGUAGCGGGUUGUGNCGUCGGCUGUGAAAACUUCACGCUUAACGUGGAGCCUGCAGUCGAUACGGGCAGACUGAGUUUCGGCAGGGGAGACUGGAAUUCCUGGUGUAGCGGUGAAAUGCGCAGAUAUCAGGAGGAACACCGGUGGCGAAGGCGGGUCUCUGGGCCGAUACUGACGCUGAGGAGCGAAAGCGUGGGGAGCGAACAGGAUUAGAUACCCUGGUAGUCCACGCCGUAAACGGUGGGUGCUAGGUGUGGGGGACUUCCACGUCCUCCGUGCCGCAGCUAACGCAUUAAGCACCCCGCCUGGGGAGUACGGCCGCAAGGCUAAAACUCAAAGGAAUUGACGGGGGCCCGCACAAGCGGCGGAGCAUGUGGA